UACGUAGGGGGCAAGCGUUGUCCGGAUUCAUUGGGCGUAAAGAGCGUGUAGGCGGCCAGGUAGGUCGGUUGUGAAAACUGGAGGCUCAACCUUCAGACGUCGACCGAAACCAUCUGGCUAGAGUCCGGGAGAGGAGAGUGGAAUUCCUGGUGUAGCGGUGAAAUGCGCAGAUAUCAGGAAGAACACCCGUGGCGAAAGCGGCGCGCUGGAACGGUACUGACGCUGAGACGCGAAAGCGUGGGGAGCGAACAGG
rnacentral:rRNA from 1 species